rnacentral:rRNA from 1 species
GACGAACGCUGGCGGCGUGCUUAACACAUGCAAGUCGAACGGACAGGCCCUGCUUUUGUGGGGUUCUCGAGUGGCGAACGGGUGAGUAAAACGUGAGUAUCCUGCCCUUGACUUUGGGAUAACUUCAGGAAACAGGGGCUCAUACCGGGUAGGAGCUCCUGCUGCAUGGUGGGGGUUGGAAAGUUUCGGCGGUUGGGGCUGGACUCGCGGGUUAUGCGCUUGUUGGUGGGGUAGGGGCUUACCAAGGCUAUGAAGGGUAGGCGGCCUGAGAGGGUGACCGGCGACAUUGGUACUGAGAGACGGAGCAGACUCCUACGGGAGGCAGCAGUGGGGAAUAUUGCACAACGGGCGGAAGCCUGAUGCAGCAACGCCGCGUGCGUGAUGACGGCUUUCGGGUUGUAAACCGCUUUCGCCUGUGACGAAGCGUGAGUGACGGUAAUUGGUAAAGAAGCACCGGCUAACUACGUG